CUUCACAGGUUAACCCGUGGCCUGAGUGAGGAAGGCAAUGUCCUUGCUAGUCACUAUUUGUGGCGACAUCUCCAAAUUGCGUGAAACCCGUCAUACAGCUUCAAGUACCACUUCAAUUGAGAAAUCUUUUGAAGGAACAGAGGUAACUCCUCUUCCCAAAGGUAAAAAGCUUGAAGACACGGUGGCAAUGCGCAGCCAAGCUCCUAAGUAUUUUAAAUAUAAGGAGAAGGUUCAGAGAGCAGACGGAGAUGGGCGGUAAUUAUCGCCGCUUAAGGUGUGCUCCAGCCUCUUUCGAAAGAUUGAG
rfam:Macrostomum lignano uti_cns_0002879, whole genome shotgun sequence.